UACGAAGGUGGCAAGCGUUGUUCGGAUUUACUGGGCGUACAGGGAGCGUAGGCGGUUGGAUAAGCCCUCCGUGAAAUCUCCAGGCUUAACCUGGAAAGUGCAGAGGGGACUGUUCAGCUAGAGGAUGGGAGAGGAGCGCGGAAUUCCCGGUGUAGCGGUGAAAUGCGUAGAGAUCGGGAGGAAGGCCGGUGGCGAAGGCGGCGCUCUGGAACAUUUCUGACGCUGAGGCUCGAAAGCCUGGGGAGCAAACAGG
rnacentral:rRNA from 1 species